CACGUAGGGUGCGAGCGUUGUCCGGAAUUAUUGGGCGUAAAGAGCUCGUAGGCGGUCUGUCGCGUCGGCUGUGAAAACCCGAGGCUCAACCUCGGGCCUGCAGUCGAUACGGGCAAACUAGAGUACUGCAGGGGAGACUGGAAUUCCUGGUGUAGCGGUGAAAUGCGCAGAUAUCAGGAGGAACACCGGUGGCGAAGGCGGGUCUCUGGGCAGUAACUGACGCUGAGGAGCGAAAGCGUGGGGAGCGAACAGG
rnacentral:rRNA from 1 species